ACGGGUGAGUAAUGCAUCGGGAUCUACCCUGACGUGGGGGAUAACCUCGGGAAACCGGGACUAAUACCGCAUACGUCCUACGGGAGAAAGCGGGGGACCUUCGGGCCUCGCGCGGCAGGACGAACCGAUGUGCGAUUAGCUAGUUGGCGGGGUAAUGGCCCACCAAGGCGACGAUCGCUAGCUGGUCUGAGAGGAUGAUCAGCCACACUGGGACUGAGACACGGCCCAGACUCCUACGGGAGGCAGCAGUGGGGAAUAUUGGACAAUGGGCGCAAGCCUGAUCCAGCAAUGCCGCGUGUGUGAAGAAGGCCUUCGGGUUGUAAAGCACUUUUAUCAGGAGCGAAAUACUACGGGUUAAUAACCCGUGGGGCUGACGGUACCUGAGGAAUAAGCACCGGCUAACUUCGUGCCAGCAGCCGCGGUAAUACGAAGGGUGCAAGCGUUAAUCGGAAUUACUGGGCGUAAAGGGUGCGCAGGCGGUUCGUUAAGUCUGUUGUGAAAUCCCCGGGCUCAACCUGGGAAUGGCAAUGGAUACUGGCGAGCUAGAGUGUGUCAGAGGAUGGUGGAAUUCCCGGUGUAGCGG
rnacentral:rRNA from 1 species